AUGGGGACUAGACUAUUGAAGACUCAGUUCAGGGAUGGAUGCAUGGAGAGCCAAAGAGGAGAGAAUGAAGGGAGAGAACUGGAGGCUGUGAGUCCCAGUGUGGAGUGCUCUGUGAAGGCUUCCCAUGAAUCCACCACUCCUGUUGACCGGAACUCCUGGGUUCUGCCACAAGCUCCCCUGAAUACCAGAAUGGCAUCUCUCGAGGGGCCAAAGAAAGCACCAGCGUGUCCUUACACGGACCUUCCCGGAGCCUCCAGAUGGGCUGUUGUGUCUUUGAAGAAUACUGAGGCUCGCUGGACUUCUCAAACAUACUGCUCCAUGGCAUUCUUUUUCAAGAACAGAACCCCACCCCCACCCCCACCCCCAUCCCUGCAAACUCAGACUUCUACUGUGGAAAAUGCAGCACAGAAUUGUGCAACCAACAACCGUUCAGUUAGAUGUCCUAUCAGAGAGAUGCUGCCACUUCAAGGAACCCAAACCCAAGUGGUCCCUGACUUAGAAGAGUCCAGUUCAGGAUUUGUUGAUUGAUGACACUGAGAAAGAAAGGGGUAAUGCAUUCAACAGAAACCCUUGGGCUGGGGGCAGGGGAUAUGGCUUGACUAGGUGGCUACUGUGCUUGCUGUGCAAACAGGAUCUGGUGUGAGCCUCUGAGUUCAGAUGUUUAACUCAUUAGAAAGCCAGGUGCAGAUGUUACCCCAGUUAGGGAGGAAGGAGAAAUAGGUCCCAGUGAUCCCAGAAACUGUCAGGGAGGAAGGAGAAGUGGAGACAGGUGAUCCCACUGGCUGGCUAACAGAUUAAAAAUGGUGAGACCCAGAUUAACCCUGAUUAAUCAGAAUAUAAGAUGGCGAAAUACCUGUCAUCGACCUCUGGCAUUUUUACACACGAACAUCCACACAUACAAUGAAGGGCAGGGGCUCACUACAUGACCCACACUGGGCAUAUGAUGGGUAGUUUUGUCAAUUUGACACAACCUAGGACCACCUAGGAAGAGAGUCUCAUUGAGGCAUCGUCUAUAUUGGUUUUGCCAGUAGACCUAUCUAUAAGAGAUCUCCUUAAUUGACAUAGAAAGACCCAGCCCACUGUGGGUGGCACCAUUCCCUAGGCAGGGACAUCCUGAACUGUAUGAGAGUGAAGAAAUCGAGCUGAGCACAAUUCAGGGAGUGAGUAUGCGUUCAUUCAUUUCUCUCUCUGCUCUGUAUUGUGUGUACAAUCAGCUCCCUCAAAUACCCACAGCCUUGACGCUUCCACAUGACGGACCUUUAAUUAUGGGCUAAAUAAACCUUUUCUCCGCUAAGUUGCUUCUGGGUGU
rnacentral:lncRNA from 1 species